rnacentral:snRNA from 1 species
GGAUGUGAGGACGAUUGGGCUGCAACAUCACCCCACUGAUUGCCAGGGUUGACUUGGCUGAUCUGGCUGGCUAGGCGGGUGUCCCCUUCCUCCCUUACCGUUCCAUGUGCGUCCCUCCUGAAGCUGUGCGCUCUGUCAAAGAGGACAACCUUCCCCGAUAGAGGAGAGGACUGUUCUUCGGUCAAGGGUAUACCAGUAGCUACGCUCCCCUGCUAGAACAUCCAAACAAGCUCUCAAGGUCCAAUUUUAGGAGAACGUAGGGUAGUCAAGCUUCCAAGACUCCAGAUACAUCCAAAUAAGGUACUGCACAUGGCAGUCUGCCUUUCUUU